GCCCGUAUAGAGUAAUAGUAACUCGUUGGACUCCUACUUGUUAGGAGAAAGCCAAGGAUCUCGGUGCAAAUCCGAGUGCGGGCU